rnacentral:other from 1 species
CGCUGCCUGCCGUGUUUGUGAUGUCCGCCGUAUUCCUUAGAACCUAAUCCACAAUUCAGGGAACUAAGUCGGUUGCGGGCGAGUAUUUCCUCGGCUUGCCGCUGGAAAUCCCAAAGUUGCCGCUGGUGCCCACUUGAAUCUUCCCGGUUCAAGGUCAUGCGGACACACGGCAUGCGCGGGCAGCGU